UGCCAGAGCCCCUCGCUUCCGGCAGCGUC
rnacentral:sRNA from 1 species